AUGUUCAGCUCUCCUAUAUAUACAGCACUGCGCCGGAAAUGCCCUUGCCGAGGCCGAGGAGGGCUAUGUAGAACAUGACUAGGAAGAAUACAGCCAUUAGCAGCGGCGUCGGCACCGCGGCCACGAGACUGCCCUGACAAGUGUGGGGACAUAACCGUCCCCUACCCAUUCGGCAUCGGCCGCGGUUGUUCGCGCCCCAACUUCAACCUCAAUUGCAGCGAGGGGGUACUGCUCAGAGGCAACAACAUCCAAAUCGAAAGCAUAACGCUGGAGACGGCACAGAUUGUCGCCUACCUCACGUCAACAUACAGCUGCAACGCGCAGGGAAGGAGAUCACGGUCACAGAACAUGUCCUUCAACCUGGGCAGUGGCCUGUUCCUCCUGUCGCCGGCGGACAACGUUUUCACGGCCAUCGGCUGCAGUCUAGAGGCGAGGCUCAACGGCCGCAUCGGCUCCGCCUCCGCCAACCGCUACCUCACGGGCUGCAUCACGACCUGCACCAGCGUGGACCUGGACGAUAUCGGGCAGGAAGGCGCGCCGUGCAGUGGCCAAGGCUGCUGCCAGGCCUCCAUUGCUCCCGGCCUCAGCUAUGUUGCAUCACGCUGGGGCAAGGACAAGCAGAACAACAAUCCAGUGCCCGACAACACAUGCCAAUAUGCCUUCGUGGCCAAGAAAGGCUGGUACAAUUUUAGUCAAUCAGACCUCGUCGGGAAGAAUUUUGCCAACAAACUUGUCAAGGGCACGGUCCCACUUGUUCUUGAUUGGGCCAUCAGGAACGGGAGAUGUCCGUCGCCACAGCACAAUGGCAACAAGGAUAUUCCCUAUGGAGUCUGCAUUAGCACCCACAGCUACUGCGUUAAUUCCAGUAAUGGCCCAGGCUACUUCUGCAAUUGCAGCGAGGGAUACGUCGGCAAUCCCUACGAAGGCAACGGAUGCAAAAAUAUUAAUGAGUGUGAGCCAUCGACGUGGCCAAAGUCAAUAAAGUACGGAAACUUAUUUCCUUGUCAUGGUGGGAAAUGCCGCGAUGUGGAUGGUGACUAUGAAUGCAAUUGCAAUUUUGGAUGAAGAGGUGACGGUAAAAGUGACAAGGGUUGUGAACCUGUAUUGUCCUCAGCUGCAGUUGUCGUGAUAGGAACAAUUAGUGCCAUAUUCAUAUCAGCAUUACUACUGCUAUUCGUACAUAUGGAGCAUGAGAAAAGAAAGCUUAGUGAUCGUUACAACAUGAAUGGCGGAAAGUUGCUGAAAAGCAUCAAGAUCGAGAUUUUCAAAAAGGAGGAGCUAGACAAAAUAACCAAGAAUUAUAGUACUAUAAUAGGAAAAGGUGCCUUUGGUGAGGUCUACAAGGGAACUACUCGUGAAUACAUGCAGGUUGCGGUCAAACGCUCCAUUGCAAUCAACAAGGAUCGCCAGAAGGAUUUCGCCAAUGAGAUUCAAAUCCAGUCACAAAUAAGUCACAAGUAUCUGGUCCAACUGUUGGGGUGUUGCUUGGAGACAGAAGUUCCUAUGUUGGUCUAUGAGUUCGUGCCAAGGGGAAGCCUCUACGACGUUCUUCAUGGCAAGAAUGGCAAUAUGAGAAGAGAUCCUAUCUCCCUACGAGCACGCCUCGACAUUGCCAUCUGCUCCGCGGAUGCCCUUGCAUACAUGCAUUCACAGGCGAGUCAGAAGAUCCUACAUGGAGAUGUGAAAUCCGGAAACAUCCUCCUUGAUGAUGAGUUCAUGCCUAAGGUGUCGGACUUCGGUACGUCGAGGCUUAUGUCCAUUGAAAAGGACCACACCAAUUGGGUGAUCGGGGACAGUAGCUACAUCGACCCCGUGUAUAUGAAGACUGGACUCCUCACAGAGAAAAGCGAUGUGUACAGCUUUGGGAUCGUGGUGCUGGAGCUCAUUACGCGGAAGAAGGCAAGGUAUGAUAGGAACAACAGUCUUCCAUUAAACUAUAUCAAGGCUUCCAUGGAAGGGGCUACAGGGCAGAUGUAUGAUACAGAGAUUCUGUCCAGCGGGGAGGAUGUGAAGUGCCUCGGCGAGGUUGGACUGAUCGCGCUGCAAUGCCUCGAAGUUGAUGUGGAUGACAGACCGACCAUGACCGAAGUCGCGGAGAAGAUUAAAAGGUGUAAGAGUCGGUGGCUGCAAAGCCAUUGGCAUGGGAAGACCAAAGCAUUGUGA
rnacentral:rRNA from 1 species